CCUACGGGAGGCAGCAGUAGGGAAUCUUCCACAAUGGGCGAAAGCCUGAUGGAGCAAUGCCGCGUGGGUGAAGAAGGUCUUCGGAUCGUAAAACCCUGUUGUGAGAGAAGAAAGUGCGCGACAGUAACUGUUCACGUUCCGACGGUAUCUAGCCAGAAAGUCACGGCUAACUACGUGCCAGCAGCCGCGGUAAUACGUAGGUGGCAAGCGUUAUCCGGAAUUAUUGGGCGUAAAGGGAACGCAGGCGGUCUUUUAAGUCUGAUGUGAAACCCAUGGGCUUAACCGGAGUAGUGCAUUGGAAACUGGGAGACUUGAGAGCAGGAGAGGAGAGUGGAACUCCAUGUGUAGCGGUGAAAUGCGUAGAUAUAUGGAAGAACACCAGUGGCGAAAGCGGCUGUCUGGUCUGUAGCUGACGCUGAGGUACGAAAGCGUGGGUAGCAAACAGGAUUAGAUACCCCAGUAGUC
rnacentral:rRNA from 1 species